rnacentral:tRNA from 1 species
GUGUUUGUAGUCCAACGGUUAGGAUAAUUGCUUUCCAAGCAAUAGAUCUGGAUUUGAGUCUUGACAGGUACA